UUUAAUUAUUAUUUGUUCUGUGUGUGUGUAUGUGUUUCUCUUUAUGUAAUGUAACAUUGUAGAUGAAGUUACUGCUUUGUGAAGGAACCUUUCUUUUCUAAUCUCUUUCCUUGUGUGGAAAGCUACUUACUCUUAUUUUCUGUCUUCUAGUUUCUAAUGAAUCUUAAGAUGCUAAUACUACUGUCAUAGGAUGUGAGCAACUUUGAAAGGGAAGAAGAAGACAAGCUCUAGUUUGGUGUUCACUUGUCUCAAUCUCCUGGGUGAAUGUUUUGAUAAAGGCUGAAGAGAUCAUUUUCUUUGGUGGAGCUGUCCUGAUUUGAAGAAGAGACCACAAUCAAUCCUGGAUUACAGAUUAGCACGAAUUUCCUGCUAGAUUAUAGGGGGGAAAUGGUUUAAAGAGAUGAAAACAGAAGAAAUGAUUUAUUUAGUUCACUAAAUUUUUAGGCACAAGGACAGCUUAGAGAGUUAACAUGGUAGUAAUGCAUGUGAUAAUACUGAGCUCAGUGCCUUGCGUGUAAAUGGUCAGUAGGUAUUGGUUUUCCUGUUCUGCACCAAACAUAAAGGCAAGAGAUCUUUUUGUUUUUUCUUUUCUUUUUUUGUAUGUUUUGAGACAGUCUCACUAUGUAGUUCAGGCUAACUUUGAACUUUGCUAUUCAGCUCAGGCUGGUCUGAAACUCACAGAGAUCUUCCUGCCCUUCCUCCAGAUUUCUGGGAUUGCAGGUAUUUCCCAUUGUGCCCAGCAAGAAAAAAUAUCUUUUGUGAAGCUCAUGACACAUGGCAGAUAAAAGAAAUAUUCACCUUGGAGUCAUAUAGGAGUCCAAAAAUUUCAGCUCAGUACUUACUACCUAUGUGAUCCCAACACUAGUGGAGGACUACUGAUCUGUCAGUUUUUCUUGAAUAAAGAAGCCCCUUUUCCAAGAGAGACUAGGAAGUGCAGAAUUUGUAAGAUUCUUCUUCAUGGAGCACAGCAUGAGCACAUCAGAAUGCAGACUCCCCCCUCAGCAGGACAUAUCAUUGUCAUAAGUGUUGGCAACUACCUUUCCUAUACCCAAACAAGGAAACAAAAGUUAUGUGGAAUUUUGCUGCUGUAGAAAAACUUGGACCAUUCCUGGAGCAGCUGUAUUGAGUUACCUUCCUCUCUAGAUCUGGAUUUGACCCAAGGAAACAUAGUCUGUAUGAUUUGGUGUCUGUUUACAUCCUGUGAUCCAUCCUGUCUGUACUCCCCACUCCCAUUCUCAGUCAAGGCAGCCUUGAGCAAAUUUAAUGUCUGAACUAAUCGGAUCUGAGAGUUCUAAGCAUUAAUUGAACAUUCCUGUGAACAUUACAUGACAGAGUUGAAAUGUAAUGGUUUUACCACAAACAGAUCCAUGUCAUCUUCUAGAUAGGUGGAUUAUUUCAAAACACCAGUUUGCAGACUCACUAAAUUGAAAACUUAUUAUCGAACAGAUUUCUAGGUUCUAUCAUUCAUGAUUUUUCCAGUAUGUUUAAUAGGCAGUCACUUGUUCUGAGCUUUUAGAUUUCAAAUCAGAAGUUACUUGGGAUAGAUCCCUUGAGCCCUCAUAUAGUGCAGUCAAUUUUGCUUUAUCCACCUUGUUGCAGUGAUGUCUGUUCAAUUUGCAAGUACAAGAAUUAGGUCAGUUUGUAACCUAAGUGAAAGAAACCAGGAGUUCCAAUAGCAGUCUGUUGAGUUACUCCAACAGAAUAAUCCAGUCAGUCCUACCUUCCAGAAACACUGAGAUCCAAAGAUAGCUGUACAAAGAGAUUAUGAGCAGAAGGCCAGUAGUACUCCCCAUAUAUGCAUAUAUUGUGAUAUGUGUGUGUGCCUAAACAUGUGUACACACUCUCAUUGGCUUGUCUCUGAGAGCCAUGGAUAGAAUUGGCCAACCUUUUGGCCAGAACUACUAUUUAUCGUUGCUCAGACUGUGCACUGCAUAGUUUUGGGAACCAUUUCACAGACUACUAUGUGAAUUGCCUCUAACAGUUGUGCCAUGCAGUGGUCUUUGAAAGGAGUGACUCAUUAUUUUGACAAAAAGAAGGAGCCCACCACUGAGA